CGGGGUGUGGCGCAGUUGGUAGCGCGCUACUUUUGGGAAGUAGAAGUCGCAGGUUCAAGUCCUGUCACCCCGACCA
rnacentral:tRNA from 1 species